AAGAGAACAUUAGUAAAGGAGAAUUCGAAAUACAAGGAAAAUUAGUUCUACAACGAAAAUACAACGAAAAUUAACGAAUACAAGCAAACCCUAAUUAGAUCUACAAAUAGAAACCCUAAUUAGAUCUACAAAUACAACGAAAAUAUUCGAAUACAAGCAAACCCUAAUUAGAUCUACAAUGAAAAUCAACCGGAAUCAAGAAACCCUAAUUAGAUCUACAAAUAGAAACUCGAUUCAUACAGAUUAAACCGAUUCAACUCUAGGGUUUGAAAGAUCAACUCAAAAAUCGUUGCAUGGAAACAUUACCUUUGGGUUCCAGACGGCGGCGACGAACAGGUAGACACGGCAGAGAGGAUGAACACGCGUCGAUGAAAUCUAUUCCAGACGGCGGCGACGAAGAACAGGCGUGGAUGAGAAGCUCCAGACGGCGGCGAAGAUGUAGAAACGACGGCUGAAGAAGUUCGAGCCCGCGGCGAGCAGCUUCGGCAGUCGUCGGAUCGAGAGAGAAUAGGCGAGGAAAGAAAUUUAGGGUUUGGAUGAGAGACGGUUGGGUUUGAGCGAAGCUCAAACUCGCUCGCGUUGUAUAUAUAAACAUAAAUCGCCUCGCAAAUCCCUCGCAAAGUUGCUAGGGCUUUGCGAGGAACCGACUAAAUAACCAAUUAAAUCGCUUCAAUUUUGCGAGGGACUUGCGAGUUUCCGUAGUAAAUCCCUCGCAAAGUUUUAGGGUUACACAGAGAUUCGAUUAGGGUUUUCAGAUAAGAUUGCGAGGUCCCUCGUAAAUCCCCCGCAAAUUGCGAGGGACUUGCGUGGGGCGUAGUAAUUCCCACGCAAAGCUGUAGGGUUACACACUUACGAGGAAGCGUGUAUUCGUCGUAAAUCCCUCGCAAAUUGCUAGGGGUUUGCGAGGGACAGUGUAAAAAAAAAAGAUAUAUAUAAAAUUAUAAGAAACUUUAAAAUUAUAAGAAUAACACAAUGCAAAAUUAUAAUAAUAAACU
rnacentral:sRNA from 1 species